rnacentral:rRNA from 1 species
UACGUAGGGUGCAGGCGUUAAUCGGAAUUACUGGGCGUAAAGCGUGCGCAGGCGGUUCGUUGUGUCGGUGGUGAAAGCCCCGGGCUUAACCUGGGAAUGGCCAUGGAAACUGGCGAACUGGAGUAUGGGAGAGGGAAGUGGAAUUUCCGGUGUAGCGGUGAAAUGCGUAGAUAUCGGAAGGAACAUCAGUGGCGAAAGCGACUUCCUGGACCAAUACUGACGCUCAUGUGCGAAAGCGUGGGGAGCAAACAGG